GUACGGGAGGCAGCAGUGAGGAAUAUUGGGCAAUGCCCGGAAGGGUGACCCAGCAACGCCGCGUGGAGGAUGAAUGUCGUAAGAUUGUAAACUCCUGUUAGAGGGGACGAAUAACUCCGAUCGAAUCGGAGCUUGACGGUACCCUCAGAGAAAGCCCCGGCUAACUACGUGCCAGCAGCCGCGGUAAUACGUAGGGGGCAAGCGUUGUCCGGAUUUACUGGGUGUAAAGGGCGCGCAGGCGGGUCUUUAAGUCAGUGGUGAAAUCCUGCAGCUUAACUGCAGAACUGCCAUUGAUACUGAAGAUCUUGAGUGCGGAAGAGAGAGAUGGAAUUCCAGGUGUAGUGGUGAAAUACGUAGAUAUCUGGAAGAACACCAGUUGCGAAGGCGAUCUCUUGGUCCGUUACUGACGCUGAGGCGCGAAAGCGUGGGUAGCAAACAGGAUUAGAUACCCCGGU
rnacentral:rRNA from 1 species